rnacentral:rRNA from 1 species
UACAGAGGUCCCAAGCGUUGUUCGGAUUCACUGGGCGUAAAGGGUGCGCAGGUGGCCGGGUAAAUCUGAUGUGAAAUCCCGCAGCUUAACUGCGGAAUGGCAUUGGAUACUAUUUGGCUAGAGGGUUGGAGGGGGGACUGGAAUUCUCGGUGUAGCAGUGAAAUGCGUAGAUAUCGAGAGGAACACCAGUGGCGAAGGCGGCUCACUGGCCCGGUACUGACGCUGAGGUGCGAAAGCGUGGGGAGCAAACAGG